CAGAGCCAUGAGCUCCCCAGGGCUGGCCUUGGUCUACCGGUCUACUCUAUUUCUGCAUCCCCUAUACCGAGCCAUGUCCCUUAGAAGUGUGUGCUCAGUAGUCUGGUGAGAGUCAUGACUGCUCAAUAUCACACAGCCAGUACCUGCUCUCCCAGGGUCUCCUCAGCUUCUGGCUCACGUUUGUGCUGAUGAAAAACAGGCAGCAGAACAAGGACCUGCAUCUUGGGGUCACUGUGCUGGGAAGGUCUCUCCUCCUGAACUGCUGGGACUUGGGCCUUGAAUAGCCAAUUAGGUGUACCAUUCUCCUGUGAGCCCAAAUGGUCGGGAAACACUCCUCUCUGGGUCCAUCCCUGCUUGUCGUUCAUCUCUGAGCAUCAGAGACUGAUACACAAGUCAGAGAAGAUCACUGUGAAUACAUUUCUCUUCCUGG